rnacentral:lncRNA from 1 species
CCAGCGGUCCCUAGUUUACGGUAGAAAACACGAUUUCCUUUCGAUACGAAAGCGUGUGUAGAGCGUAGUUCGGAGAGCCGGCGGUCCGCAGUAACUGGCUAGGGGAGGCGGUUUGCGGCUGCCCGGGGCGCUGAGCGCUGGGGCAGUUUCUCCUGACCUCUCCCUGCGUCGGGCCAGCCAAGGGGAAAGCCUCGAAUGGGAGAGAGGGGUGAAGGCAGAGGAUGGGUGAGGAAGGAAAGGGCUGAGAAAUGGCAAGAGCCCAUCCUGCCUCGGAAACUACAUAAUGGCAGGGAAGGACCGCCAGCAAGACUGGAACCAGUACAAGUUGCACAGUUGUUUGUGCAUUUGACUCAGCUACAGCAGUAGUUGCACCGGGAGGGGCAAAAUGUCACCCAAGAGGUAGAGAAGAAAAAAUAGCAAUUGGUAAGUAAUAGACAUUUCCUCCCGAUUGUGUAGAUAAGACAGGUUUUUUCUUCUUGAUCAAAAUAUUUUUUCUUUUUUUUUUUUUAAUUUUUUUAACGUUUAUUUAUUUUUGAGACAGGGAGAGACAGCAUGAAUGGGGGAGGGGCAGAGAGAGAGGGAGACACAGAAUCGGAAACAGGCUCCAGGCUCUGAGCUGUCAGCACAGAGCCCGACGCGGGGCUCGAACCCACAUACCGCGAGAUCGUGACCUGAGCCAAAGUCGGAUGCCCAACCGACUGAGCCACCCAGGCACCCCUCAAAAUAUUUUUUCAUGUUCUCAGCAUUUCAUUUUCUCAUACUAACACUUUUUUUUGGCUGGGCCUCUUGUUUUUUUCCCACUGUACUUUAAAUGUCCUAAGUAUUUCUAGUGAGUUUAAACUAUACACUGUCCAUUAAUUGACUAAAGCAGAUAGUGAUUUUCUCUACAUUUGUUUUAUAUUCUUUUCACCAGAUACAAAAAAUAUCUGUGACUUUUGAAGUUACAAAAUCUGUAUUAUUAUCAUUGUGAUGUUUUGAGAGUACCCCAUAAU